UUUAUCAAUGUUCAAUAAAAUUUAAUAGAAACAUGUCUAACCAGUGUUGUAGCGUUUAAGCUAUCCAUUGUCAUUCACAAAACCAUUCCCAAGAGAAACGGAAUUAUUUUUAAAUGGUAGUGAUGGCCACUAGGGCUUCAGCGUGCGACACUCGUCCGUUUCGACUCAGGAGAAUGGCGGGACUGGCGCGACACUACACGUUGUGUUCUAUAGGUAGUAAAACGAAUAGGCAGGCAAACAGAUAGCGGGAAGGGAAACUUGGAGGGUUGGCUCCGAUUACAAAAUUGGACAUGGAAGGAAUUGAGACAUCAAUCAAAAAUCGAGGCCACAUUUUUUGUAAGAUUUGGGUCAUCACUUUUACACAAAUUGGAGCUUGAUAUCAGCGAUUUUGGAACAAAUAGAAAAGGAGCUCAAAAAGUUUGUUUCAAAAUGCACGAGAAAUCACGCAAAGUGCGGCGGGUCGGCCGACGUGACGCUUGCAGGAUCAUCAAGUCCACAGUGUGACCAAACCUUUUGUUUAUGACUCCUUUGUAUUAUACAAACAUUUAUAAUUUUGUGAUAAAUAUUCAAAUCAAUACAUAAAAGUACCUUUGCAGAUUUUCCACUAAUGUUAUAACGUUAUCACGUAAAAUUAUCGUCCGUAAACCGAUUAUCUACAGCUUAUGUAUAGUUAAAUUUAAAUUGAAAGUAUUAGAAAUAAAAUUUAUUUAUAAGUAUUAUAAAAUAUUAUGCUAUCCAUUAUUUUUAUUCCAAAAUUUAUAAAAUUCAUAGUUCAUCGUACUGAAACUCGAACUCAAUAUAUUUAUUUAUAUAAGUAAACAAGCACAUUUAUGAACGUCAGAAAAGAAGUUAAAUUAAUUGUUAAUUAACAUUUACUACCAGUUCGCAAGUCAAGGGCGUAGAGCGGGCAAGAAACUUUCCGCCACUCUUUUUAAUCGCUAACUUUUUGCAAAUCAAAUACAUUUUGUUUUAUUCUCAUUAGGCAGUAAGUUAUUUACAUUAAACCAGUUAACUAUACGAGAGUUAGAAUUGUUUACAUCGUAUGAUAUUUCCCAGGCGUUAAAUAUGUCCGAAAUCAACUUCACACCGGCAUCGAUUAUGGAUUGACCCUUAGUAAAAUCAUACUGUUUAUUAUGCAAGAGAUUAUUUUUAUUAAAAUGUAAAGAAAGUUG